GGAUGGCUCAGUUGCUUAGAGCGUGGUGCUGGUAAUGCCAAGGUGGUAGGUUCUAUCCCCAUAUGGGAUAGCUGCA